UAUAAGAAUUUUAUGAUGAUCAGAUAUUUGAUUAAAUUGGUCUUUUAUAAGAUCAAUUAGAUUAUAUUUCAGUAAUAAAUAUUUUUAGAAUUAUUUUGUUCGAAUUACAGAAUCAGUCAAUGUCAAUUUAAUCUCACCACGCAAUCGGUGUACGUAUUAUGAGCCUGUUCCCAUAGAAUGGGCUUAAAUAUACAUUGCAAAUUUUAAAGUCACUGUGUCCGGAUACGAAUAAACGAACCAUACAGAUA